rnacentral:rRNA from 1 species
AGCCUGACGCAGCGACGCCGCGUGGAGGAKGAAGGCCUUCGGGUUGUAAACUCCUGUCARGGGGGAMGAAUAUCGYGGGGUUGAAUAAGCCCGCSGUCUUGACGGUACCUCCGRAGGAAGCCCCGGCUAACUCCGUGCCAGCAGCCGCGGUAAUACGGAGGGGGCAAGCGUUGUUCGGAAUUAUUGGGCGUAAAGGGCGCGMAGGCGGCCUGGUAAGUCGGAGGUGAAAUCCCUCGGCUCAACCRAGGAAYUGCCUCKGAAACUGCUUGGCUUGAGUCCGGGAGAGGRUAGCGGAAUUCCYGGUGUAGCGGUGAAAUGCGUARAUAUUGGGAGGAACACCAGUGGCGAAGGCGGCUACCUGGACCGGUACUGACGCUGAGGCGCGAAAGCGUGGGGAGCAAACAGGAUUAGAUACCCUGGUAGUCCWCGCUGUAAACGAUGGGCACUKGGUGUUGCGGGUAUCGACCCCUGCAGUGCCGMAGCUAACGCAUUAAGUGCYCCGCCUGGG